AUACGUAGGGAGCGAGCGUUAUCCGGAUUUACUGGGUGUAAAGGGUGCGUAGGCGGUCAUGGUAAGUCAGAAGUGAAAUUUUGGGGCUCAACCCCAGAGCUGCUUCUGAAACUGCUGUGCUAGAGUGUGGGAGAGGAAAGUGGAAUUCCGAGUGUAGCGGUGAAAUGCGUAGAGAUUCGGAGGAACACCAGUAGCGAAGGCGGCUUUCUGGACCAUAACUGACGCUGAGGCACGAAAGCGUGGGGAGC
rnacentral:rRNA from 1 species